GUCCUUGUGUAUUUGAGGCAAGCACUCUACCAACUGAGCUAAAUCCCCAACCCUAGAAUGUAAUAUAUUUAAAAUUUUUUUCAAACAUGAUUCUGAAAAUAUAGGUCUGUGAUCUAGCUCAAGAUAAUGCAAGAGAACACAAGACUUCUCUCCACAUGACACUUGCUCCGUUAUGCUAUGCUGAAUGGAGAGGCAUUAAAAUGCAGAUGCAAAACAGCACUAAGAACACUGCUAUUUCUAGUAAAUGAAUGGGAUGGGAGAAUAAUUUGUUGCUUGGAGAGAGUAAGCAGAGAAUUUAUUUGACUAGGAAAUGAUGACUGGAUCACAAUUCAGAGACUGGGUCCCAGUUCUGCCACCAGCCAGCCAUAUGGCCUUGGCCAAGUUGCUUAGCAGCCUCAGUUUCUCAUCUUCAUGGGGAGAACAAUCGGUUCACCUCUUGCCCUUACGAUAGAGAAACUAGGCAGUUCCCUGGAAAUGCUUAGCAAGUGUCCAAGGGUAAGUCCCUCUUUAUUUUUUUUAAUAUUUAUUUUUUAGUUGUAGUUGGACACAAUACCUUUAUUUAUUUAUUUAUUUUUAUGUGGUGCUGCGGAUCCAACCCAGGGCCUUGCGUGUGCUAGGUGAGCACUGUACCACUGAGCCCCAGCCCCAGCCCGGUAACUCCCUCUUUCUGCUCCUUUUAUUGCUUCUUCUACCAGAACAGCUUACCUGGCUUUUUUUUAAACAACCAUUUAAAUGAAAAAUUGGCCUCUGACCUUCCCCAUUAGAAAGGCAUUAAAAAUAAUGAACAAAAUGAAAAUUUCUGUGGACUGAUUGAGCAUGGUGGUACACACCUGUCAUCCCAGCUGCUUUGGAGGCUGAAGCAGCCUCAUACAGCUAGUGAGACCCUGCCUUAAAAAAAAAAAAAAAAUGGCUAGGGGUGUAGCUCAAUUGUAAAGCACCACUGGGUUCAAUUCCCAGUACCAGAAAAAAGCAAAUUUCUGUGGACCUGCCAACACUGGGCAGAAACACAUUGGCUAUGAAUUGCGGUCUCUGUUACUGUGAGCAGUUUGUUGCAGACAUCCAUGAGGAAGUGGCAGAACCUCUCUCUCGGGCCACUGUCACCUAUCGGCUGAACACCACUCUCCUCAGCCCAUGGCAUUUAGUGGAGCUGGGGGGCUUCAUGUCUCAGUGGCCAAGAGGCCUGGAAUGGGCCUUUCGUGUCUUCUCAGAGAUGUGCAUGGCCUGUCCCAUGUCCUCCACUCCCUGUCCCCAUGCUGAC
rnacentral:lncRNA from 1 species